AGAUUGAACGCUGGCGGAAUGCUUUACACAUGCAAGUCGAACGGCAGCACGGGGGCAACCCUGGUGGCGAGUGGCGAACGGGUGAGUAAUACAUCGGAACGUGCCCAGUCGUGGGGGAUAACGUAGCGAAAGCUACGCUAAUACCGCAUACGAACUCUGGUUGAAAGCGGGGGAUCGCAAGACCUCGCGCGAUUGGAGCGGCCGAUGGCAGAUUAGGUAGUUGGCGGGGUAAAGGCUCACCAAGCCUGCGAUCUGUAGCUGGUCUGAGAGGACGACCAGCCACACU
rnacentral:rRNA from 1 species